CAGCGGGCUGAGAUCACCUUUGAAUAGAGGGCCAAGGAGAAAGGGGCUGCUGGGUAAUGGGUACCAGGGCUGCCCUGGGGCUGGCUGGGGUUGGAGGAAGGGUGGUUUCUCCACAUCGAUGGAGACCCCGGGGACCCUGGGCAGCAACUGCUUUUGCACCCACCUGGCCUUUCAUACCCUCUACCCUUUACCCCCCAACCCACGUUUAGGGAUUAGAAACCCCCCUCAAGACUUCUCCACACCCAGACUGGUCAGCUUGCUUUCAGGAGCCUCCACCCUGGCUGUACCUUCUCCCACCCAGGCCUGGCAUGAGCCCCCUCCUCCUCCAGCCUGGAAGCCCCUCCUCCUCCAGCCAGGAAGCCCCUCCUCCCAGGCCUGCAGGACAAGGGGGCAGACGAUUUCACAGUAGGGCCUGGAUGUUCCUGGGUCCCUGGAGGUGCAGGUGUGUUCUGUGGGCUCACCCACCCCCAUCCCCAUUCAACCAUCGUUCCACCCAUCCAUUCUCUACCCAGUAGACACUGCUCAGCAGAUAAACCCAAGGCCUCCUGUGUCCACCACAGCAGACCCUCCAGGCAGCCAUCCUUGUCUGGUGAGACAGGGAUGGGCAGCCUGAGGUGUGGACUGGCCCCUCAGCUGCUGACAGUGGUGCUCUGGGAGUCCCUGGAGCCUGAAGCCAGCCCUGCUGGCCCCCAGCCUGUGACCCCCAGCGCCACCCUGCCCAGUCUCUUCGUCAUGUUUUGUGCUGCUGUUGCCCUGGGAACUUUCCAUUGGAAAAUGUUGGGCGAGGUGGGCAGGCAGACAGGCCAGGGCAGGCUGCAGACACGCUGUGGGUGGAUGGGUGGUGGACGCCUCUCCCAGGAGGGCUGGUCGGUCCCACACCCUAGGACGGCCCACCCUGUCCUGCCCACUCCUGUUCUCAGCCCCCACCCCAGGCCUGGGGAGUGCUGAGGUGUGGGUCCCCACAGAGAGGCCCAGUGGGAUGAAGGCUGUGUUCCAGCACAGGCCUGCCCACUCCUGGCACCCAGAUCUCAUUCCAGAGUGUCCACCCAGCUGCCAGUUGUCCACAUGGAGGCAGGGAGUACCCUGCUGGGCCUCAGCGUCUUUGCUCAGGUGAAAUGGACAAAAUGACCUGAGACAGCUUCAAGUGGGGAUUCUGAGCAUCACACCUCCCGGAGCAGGGCCUGCCUCUGGACGCUUGGCCUGGACUCUGCUUCCCAGGGGUUCUCAGCUCCCCUAUCCCUGGCUUUCCCCCAAGCCCAGUCCAGGAAGGACCCUAACUCUGGAGGCUGUGGUCCAGGAUGGAGUACCCAGCCUCGACGUCUGAAGGCUGAGCUCCAGCGUCUGCAAUGAGCCCCAGGAAGACAUGAGGAAUCUGAGGAUCAGAGCUGGAGGCUGCUACUGACCUGGCCAGACAGACCCUAGCCAGGGAGCGGUCAGUGCAAGUACACAGACCCUUGGCCAGAGUGUUGGGCUAAUACCUGGGGCUAGGAAAAUUAUGAGGGAGGCAAACCCUGUGGUGGCCUGACCCUUCAGGGAUGACAGCUCUGACACCAAGCUCCCAUCACAUGGGCUCCCAGGCACAGGGGCUGGUGGGAGGUCUGAGGCUCAGGACCCUCUUCCACCAUCCCCCUCCUUCCCAGGCUGGCAGAGCUACUGGCAGUUCUGAACUGUCCAGGGGCCUCACACCCUCCUCCCGUCAUCUGUCAUCUGUCCCCACUAAUGCUUCCAAUGACAGAGCUCGGAGCCAGACCAGAGGAGUCGAGGCGCUUCCACACCAGGGGAUCUGAUGCGUCUUCAAAUGAAUUCACACAAACUUACCUGGCAGGAGGGUGGGCUCCAGGCUGGACAAGCAAGGCCGAGCACAGUUUCAUGGCUGAUCCUGCCAGUGUGCACCCGUGAACUGGGGAUUCUGGACUCAGGCAGACCCUCCCACAACUGGAGAAGAGCAGUGUAGACCUACCUGGCCCCUCUGAGGCUGGCUCAAAGGCAGGCCAACUGGGAGGGAGCUCAUGGUGGGGUC